CCUACGGGAGGCAGCAGUGAGGAAUAUUGGUCAAUGGCCGUAAGGCUGAACCAGCCAAGUCGCGUGAAGGAAGAAGGAUCUAUGGUUUGAAAACUUCUAUCAGCAGGGAAGAAAAUGACGGUACCUGACUAAGAAGCCCCGGCUAACUACGUGCCAGCAGCCGCGGUAAUACGUAGGGGGCAAGCGUUAUCCGGAUUUACUGGGUGUAAAGGGAGCGUAGGCGGUUUAGCAAGUCAGAAGUGAAAGCCCGGGGCUCAACUCCGGGACUGCUUUUGAAACUGUUGAACUAGAUGGCAGGAGAGGUAAGUGGAAUUCCUAGUGUAGCGGUGAAAUGCGUAGAUAUUAGGAGGAACACCAGUGGCGAAGGCGGCUUACUGGACUGUAAAUGACGCUGAGGCUCGAAAGCGUGGGGAGCAAACAGGAUUAGAUACCCGUGUAGUC
rnacentral:rRNA from 1 species